AUUCCCGCCUUCCCGAGUCUUUCACCGCUCUCUCUCUUUCUCUCGCUCGCUCUCUCUCUCUCAUUCUUUUCAUUCACCUCCUUCCAUCAUCAUGUCCGCUAUCACGUGCUACAAGUGUGGUGAGGCCGGCCACAUGUCGCGCAGCUGCCCGCGCGCCGCGGCGACCCGCUCUUGCUACAACUGUGGUGAGACCGGCCACAUGAGCCGCGACUGCCCCAGUGAGCGGAAGCCGAAGUCGUGCUACAACUGCGGCUCGACCGACCACCUGUCCCGCGAGUGCACGAACGAGGCCAAGGCCGGCGCCGACACCCGCUCUUGCUACAACUGCGGUGGCACGGGCCACAUGAGCCGCGACUGCCCGAACGAGCGCAAGCCGAAGUCGUGCUACAACUGCGGCUCGACCGACCACCUGUCCCGCGAGUGCCCGGACCGCCACUAGACACCUGACCCCGAAAACUGUUGUCGGCUCAUAAAGGAUGCAGAGAAUAGGAAAUCAAUGGUAAGGAAAGGGAUGAGUUUCUCUGUCAUCGCAGUUAAGUGCAUCUCUGCGCUCAUGGGCGUCGGCACGAAAUCACGCGGGACGAGCGAAACGAAAGCGUAAAAAGCGAGUUUCUCGUGGCGAUGGAGGAGCAACGAAGAAGGGAAAAGAAUGACGCCGCGUGUGCAGAUCAUGAGAAGGACGGCGGCGUCCGAGCGACAGGGAAGAGGGUCUCGCGGACGUUUUGGUCGGCUCUGUGGUGGAGGAAGAAAGAAGGCGUGACCACAAAGGUUGGGAGAGAUGCGGGCAAAAUGCCGAGAAGGACUGGAUCGUGAGGUGGAGUGGGAGAAGUGUGAGGGAGGCGCGGUUGAUACUGCGAACAAUGAGGGAGAGGAGAGACACAGGAGGAGCGCAGUGCCGCGUAUAACGAGGAAGCUGCAGCAAGCGCGCCCCAAUCGAGAAAAGACAAACUCUGCAGGCUUUAUCUUUUCGCUCUUUUCUUUCUUUUCGGUGUUCCCCCCUCCCUCUAUGCUCCUUCACCCCACUCUUUCCGUCACUCAUCUUCUCUCUGAUGUGUUUGGGCCUUUCUCUUGAGCUCCCCACCGCCUCUGAUGCAAAAUACGAAGACCCACACACGGCUGAGCGCGGCUUUAAUUUCCGAGGGUGUUGAAGCUUUUUUUUCUAUUUUCUAUGUCUGCUUCGAAGUUCGUGGACUCUUCUCUUUUUGCCUUUUCUGUUCUUGAAGUCGGCAGGUGGAGGGGAGGGGGACUGCAACCACGACGGUUGACCCGCCUUCGGCGCCCGUCUCCCUUUUUCCUCCUUCCCCUUCUCCUUGCCGCGAGACAGCGGCACCUACGCGUCGUUGCUUAUAAUCGGAAGCACUGGCAUCACCAGUCGCACAGAGAAAGGCCGAACACGGGCCACUCCCUUUCCUGAGCGAAUGAGUCUCAGACUUACACGCAUAUGACGCGAAACGACUGGGAAAUGCCUCGAAGGCGCAAGCGAGCAACCGGUGCACGUGCGAGCUGGUGGACUGGCGGAGAGGUCUUGCAUAAUGUGCACGGGCCGCCUGUUUUUUCUGCAUUGCUCGUCGUGCUCAAGGGCGAUCGCGGAACUGGCGCAGCUCUCUCGCUUUCUCGUGUUCUUUGGCGUCUUUUGGCCUUUUCGGUGCUACCGUACGUGCUUGGGGUCUGCAGUUGAGGGAGAGAAGGCGCGUGUGUGUGUGUUUAGGAGGAGGGGGAGGGGUAGUAUUGACGAGGGCUUCUUCCCAGCGUGCGUGUAAUAUACGUGCUGCUAUGGCGGUGAGGUUGCGCCACGACGAAGCGAGGGCGGUAGAAGGUCAGGAGGGGAACAUUAGAAGCAAAUACGCGUGGAAAAGAGGCGCACUUAGGUGGUGUGCUUCGGCGUCUGCCGACGCGCCUCCUUUUUCUCCUUUAUAGCCUUCUUCUGCCCUUCUUUGUUUUAAGUCCUGCUCAUGACACGUACUCGACUGCCCCCCCUCCCUCCCUUCUCUCUCCCCGUCUGUUGUGUCUUUCGAGGCUUCCGGCGCUUGCCCUCUUUUCCUUUGUUUUCUGCGUAACCCUUUUUUGUCUUUUUUUAAAGGUUUCCUUGCCCUCUGCGGACCUCACAUCGUAAUCCCGCACUCCGGUACAAGCGGAAAGGCACUCAAGCAAACAAAGAAGGGCGGGGCGCGCGCCUCUCUCUUUCCUCGCCGCCUUUUGGUUUCUGUUUUUUUUUUUCGCGUAUGUCUUCUUUUCGACAACGCCACCUCGUGUGUGCGUGCGUGCGCCGCUGGUUGCUCACCACGUCGCCGCACCUGCAGUGAAUGAGAGAACAGCAAACCCCCUCCCACACG
rnacentral:misc_RNA from 1 species